rnacentral:rRNA from 1 species
GAUGAACGCUGGCGGCGUGCCUAACACAUGCAAGUCGAACGCUCGCAAGAGAGUGGCGCACGGGUGAGUAACACGUAGCUAAUCUGCCCUCAAGACAAGGAUAACUGUAGGAAACUACUGCUAAUACUUGAUAAGCUUACGGACUGUAGAGGUCUAUAAGAAAGAUUUAUCGCUUGAGGAUGAGGCUGCGCGCCAUCAGCUAGUUGGUGAGGUAAUGGCUCACCAAGGCGACGACGGCUAGGGGACCUGAGAGGGUGACCCCCCCACACUGGGACUGAGACACGGCCCAGACUCCUACGGGAGGCAGCAGUGAGGAAUAUUGCUCAAUGGGCGCAAGCCUGAAGCAGCGACGCCGCGUGGAUGAAGAAGGUUUUCGGACUGUAAAAUCCUUUUCUGUGUGACGAGAGUGGACGGUAGCACAGGAAUAAGUCUCGGCUAACUACGUGCCAGCAGCCGCGGUAAU